GGAGGAUUGGCUGAGCGGCUUAAAGCGGCGGUCUUGAAAACCGUUGAAGUGAAAGCUUCCGCAGGUUCGAAUCCUGUGUCCUCCGCCA
rnacentral:tRNA from 1 species